UCGGCCAGAGAAUCUAGAGGAAAACUCACUUGUGGGAUUUGUACCCAAGUUGAUGACCAACUUUGGAGCUUCUCCAGAUUUCUGCUGAUCUGAGUCCUGCAGUGUUGAACUCCCAGGACUAUAAACCUUCUCAGUUCACUGGAGGAUCAGCUGACCAUGCAAAGUCUCCUCUCUAUGGAAAUGAUUUCUCUGCUCUCAACAGACUGAAGGCAACGUGGGACACAACAUCAGGAGGAAUACUGCUCGGAUUAACAAUAUCUCUGAUCUUAAUGGAUUAGAAGAAUAUAUUGAUAUUAGAAGCGCAGUUGAGGAUGAGUUUGUGUCCACUGUGGUUGGUAUGAGAUGUCUGUUUGUCUGCCUUUAAAUUACUUACAGGGUUUACUGAAGAUAAAUAACACAUUUCACUUCUGCUUAAUAUGAGUUUGGUAAUUAUUUUCAUUUUAAAUCAUCAUGUUUAUUUAACUUUGUAUCAACUUAUAUAAAGUAUCAACUUAUAUAAAACUGUGAAAUAUGAGUAAUAUGAGUUUCUUCUGGGCAGAAACAUUUGGGGGUGGCAGUAGCUCAGUCUGUAGGGACUUGUCUUGGUAACCAGAGGGUAGCUGGUUUAAGUCCCCCGUAUGAACCAAGUACGGAGUGUGGAGUGGAAGCUGGAGAGGUGCCAGUUCACCUCCUGGGUGCUGCCAUGGUGCCUUUGAGAAGGCACUGAACCUCCAACUGCUCCGGGUCCAAGUUACACUGAAUUGUAUUACUUUCACUCUAAGAGAAACUAUUCAUUCAAUAAAAAAUGUGGCAUGGACAUUAAUAAUGACAUCAAUUAUCAAUAAACAAAACUGUGGAUUAUAA